rnacentral:sRNA from 1 species
GAAGGACGGGGGAGGACCUCUGCUUCCGGCGCCGUAACUGCUGCCAUCUUCUCCGCGCUAUGGCUGCGUUCAGCCGUCAGCAGCCUCGUCUUACAGCGUGACUGCAAAGAAAAAGACUUUUGUUUUGCAAAAGAAAAGCAGCUUGGUGACUCCGUCCACAUCGCCACAGUUGAGUCAGAUGGCAGUGGCAGUCCUUUGCCAGUGGAAGGAGUUCCUGCUUAGGGGAGGUGCAGGAGAACUAAUUUAUUAUUGUGCAACUGCCAGUCCUGCGCAUUCCAGCUACGCUAAGUGCCCUGCCCAGGCAUGUAACAAAACAUAGACCUGUUUUGAAGUGGCUUGUUACCCAAGGGUGCCUCACUCUCAUCUGCACCACCAGGAAGGUGAACUGUGAGGGCUCCUAUAAGGGGCAGGAGGAGCAAAGCUGUCUUAGGCCAACCAGAGAUUCAUCUUUCAUGCAGUGACAUGUUGAUAAAAAAUGAUGGAAGUACCACCAAGAACAGGGAAGGACAAGCCAGAGGCUGGAGGAAGAUACUUGCAGAACACAGACCUGACAAAGGAUCAGUAUCAAAACAUAUAAGAAUUUUGACAAAUUAAUAAAAAGAGUACAAAUAACCCAACAUAAAGUCAAAAGGUGUGAUCAGGCAUUUCACAGAAGCAAACACCUUUGGUGGAUGCCCAUGAGGAGAGGCUCAGUCACAUCAGUGCCCAGGAGAUGCAAACCCAGAUCCCAGGGGUGUGCAUCCCACCCGUUCUGCCUGCAGGAUCUGCAAACCCGGCAAAACCUAGUUCUAGAGAGACUGGAUUCACUGCAUGUCUUCAUCACUGCUGGAGGGAGUGCAGACUGCUAUCGCCUCUUAGAAAAUGACUUAGUUCUCAUGUAAUUUGGGCAUUCACACAUCCUCAUCCUAGAUCCAGCUUUUCCACUCCCGCACACGUACUGGAAAACGUGUACAGGAACAUCCACUGCAGCACUGCUCAUACCAAACACAACCUACAUGUUCUCUGCACAGAGAGGGGAGAAGAGCCGGUCAGUUCACUCAGUGGACUCUGUGCUCAAUAGUGGGUGUGAAUAAGCCGCAGCCGCCCAGACCGCAUGGGCCAACCUCAGUCCGAGAAUGCGGAGUGAAAACACAGGUCUAGCGAUCACACAUGGCAAGAUAAUUAUCUUGCAAAGAAAACUCACGUAUUGUUCUGCCAUACAUAUAUGCACCAUAAAAUCACUCCCCCCACCUUCCACUCUGAAAACACAAAGGAAUUCUAGGCACAAAGUUCACGAUCAUGGUUAGCUGAGGGGAGAGAACAGGGAGUAUGAUGGCAAGAUAGAAGGUAUCGUUCACAUCCAAGUUUAUAGGUUGGGUUCUUGAUUUAGUCAUUAUUCAAAGGCUAAUAACUAAAUAAAAGGUAGCUAGCGUGAGAGUGCAACAUGAACCAAAGAUCAUGACUGGCUUUGCGCAUCGAGGGGCCAUUAAAGAGUCUACUUUUCAUGUUAUCACUUAAAAUCAUUUUGCACCCACCAGGGCAUGAGCAUCUCGUGCUGGCAAACACCACAUGACCGUGGUGACCUCAGGGCCAGCCCGGGGGUCAUCUUGAAUCUCUCCUGCUGAAGAGACCCAGGAGGGUAACACACGCCCCUCCAAUCUCUGAGUUCUAGGAAACGAACACCUGGUAUUUAAAGGGGCUGACAUAAUGCAAAUCAUCUGAUGAAAUGUUUGUUUUAGUUCACUUAAAGAUCAACACGAGAGUCUUCACUCUGAAUGGGCCACACCUGAAUUAAGAGAAUCCUUCACUCUCUGCGUCGGAUGCACAAACCAGUCCUCCUGGUGCUCACAGGGGCUAGCAGCAAGUCCAGACCUUGUAUGGUGAGGGCGGGGGGGGAAGGUGAACUUAGGGUUCAGCGAAACCGCCACUUGCAAACACACCCCACCGCAGGUGCCCUUGAUGUGUACACAUGUCCUUGAGAAGCUGGGGGCAAGGCCUUGCGGGUGAGACCACGCUCAGCAGCUCACACCUUUACCAAGUACUAGGACUUCUUUGGGGUUGGGUUGAGGGGUGAUCCCAAUCUGAGUCUGUGGUAUGACUCAGGGGAGAACAGGUCACCGGGUGCUAGGAGAGCUGUCCAUAGAGGACACAGCCCCAAAGGAUUAGAACCAGGAGAAAGGUAGAGUCUGACUCAGGGUGAGGAACACACAUGUAUUGGUGCUGCCCGAAGGGGAACUGCCUCGUGAGCGUCUGGGAACUCUUACUGCAGGUGCUCAGCAGAUGCUUGGUGCCCUGCAGGGACGUGCUGGCCUCGAUUCUCACGAGGCAGAGCCCUAGACUAGGAGACAGUUCAGGUCCUGCAUAACCUGAGUGUCCACAGGGCCCAGCUAGUCCUCAAGCUGGGGCUCGCCCAGUGGCUGCUCCCUCUGCUUCUCCCAUCCUGACUCCACCUGCUCCUCUUCGGAGAAGUGAGGGGUGAGGGGCCCAGAGGCAGGGGCUGGGGUGGGCUCUGCUGCAUAUGGAGGCGAAGGAGGGGAGGGGAGGGGAGGCAGCAUCAAAGCCAGUCUCUCUAGCUCAGACUCUGGGUGGUUUGGGUGGGUCCUGCCCCCUGGCCUGUUCCCGUCUGUGGGGUCCCACUGCUUGGGUGGUGUAGCUUCACCCCAUCUUCCCACACCGGGGUGCCUGGCGCUCGGCCUCCCCUCAGGUAGGCUCUGUGCCUCCUGAUUCCUCACCGUGGGUGGUCCCUCCUGCCUGCAGCCUCUAAGGCCCCUGAGAGCAGUCAGUCAGUCCCAAAGUCCCCACCAGCGCUGCUGACUUACUUCCGAUGUCCUUGUUGCCGUGUUCAGGGAGCUGGAGGGCCAGGCUGACCUGCUUGGGGGCUUCCUCCAUGUUCUCGAGCUGCGCCGAGGCUGUGGGUUCUAGGAGAAGCCAGGCGGUGACCACACGGCGCAGCUGCUUUGCACCUGGGAUGGUCCUGGGGCCACCCUUUUGAGUGCUUCUAUAUCUCAGGGAGCAUGGAUGUCCCUGGUGGGGACCAGGCUCCCUGCGUGGCCCCAGCACCUGUCGGCCCCAGAGCUGCCUCCCCUGAAGGGCUGGCCUCACCCUCCUGCAGACCCUCUGGAGGGGCUCGGCCUUCCCCUUGCAGGGCCCCCUCAGAGCUGCUUCAGGGACAGCCACCACUGAUCAUGCUGAGAGGCCCCAUCCUCACGGCUGAUGCGGUUGCUUCCUUCUUAGGGUCAAAUUCUGCAUUCCUCUCCUUCCACCCCUGCUUCUUGGAGGCUGUGGCACCCCCUGCUCUCUCUGAGCUGCCCUCAGUCUGUACUGACCUUCCUCACGCCCUCGCCCCCAACUGCAUCACUUCUUAUGCAGGGAUCUCAACCACACCCUCGGGCACUUCAUAUCCGCUUCCAUAGCUGCAAGUACAACGGGCCCCCCUCUGUACUCCAGAUCUCACCUGCUCACCACUGGGCAUCCCGGGCAGCUGCCUGCCCUCUCCUCAGACACCUUGCUGGGGGCUCUCUCCCCUGCUCACCGUGCGGCAGGGACCCCAGGGCUCUGGUCCCUCCUUGCCACUCUCCUUGCUGCAUUUCCCUCCCUCCUCUGCCUGAGGAGUUUUUGCUCAGAACGUGUUUGUUAAACUGGUGACUAGGCUCUGCUGGGGAGUUCCAUGAGGAUGAGCACCUGGCAUUCCAGGUGAGAGGCAAGGGCCAGAGAGGUCCCCUCUGGGGCAGGGUCGCGCCUGCCUCACUCCUGCCAACAUGUCUCAGGGCUUCUGUGUCAGAAUCACAGGCAGAUUCCCAGAGCGGCACUCACCCAGUAAACCCGGUGGGAAGGGGCCAAGGCACCUGGGCCCAUCAGCCUUGCUGCCACCGGGAAGAUCUUGCCAGGACAGUGGCGGAGGAUUUGCUGGACCACACUCAGAGUGGCGGGUUAGACCCUCAUGGCCUCCUGCCCAUGGCUUACUAAAACAAAGCUCAGAGCCCUACUUUGGCAAAUAAAGCUGCUGUAAUGUCUC